GACGAACGCUGGCGGCGUGCCUAAUACAUGCAAGUUGAGCGAUGAAGAUUGGUGCUUGCACCAAUUUGAAGAGCAGCGAACGGGUGAGUAACGCGUGGGGAAUCUGCCUUUGAGCGGGGGACAACAUUUGGAAACGAAUGCUAAUACCGCAUAACAACUUUAAACAUAAGUUUUAAGUUUGAAAGAUGCAAUUGCAUCACUCAAAGAUGAUCCCGCGUUGUAUUAGCUAGUUGGUGAGGUAAAGGCUCACCAAGGCGAUGAUACAUAGCCGACCUGAGAGGGUGAUCGGCCACAUUGGGACUGGGACACGGCCCAAACUCCUACGGGAGGCAGCAGGAGGGAAUCUUCGGCAAUGGACGAAAGUCUGACCGAGCAACGCCGCGGGAGGGAAGAAGGUUUUCGGAUCGUAAAACUCUGUUGGUAGAGAAGAACGCUGGUGAGAGUGGAAAGCUCAUCAAGUGACGGUAACUACACAGAAAGGGACGGCUAACUACGUG
rnacentral:rRNA from 1 species